ACGAACGCUGGCGGCAUGCCUCACACAUGCAAGUCGAACGAUGCUUUCGGGCAUAGUGGCGCACGGGUGCGUAACGCGUGGGAAUCUGCCCUUGGGUUCGGAAUAACAGUGAGAAAUUGCUGCUAAUACCGGAUGAUGUCUUCGGACCAAAGAUUUAUCGCCCAGGGAUGAGCCCGCGUAGGAUUAGCUAGUUGGUGGGGUAAUGGCCUACCAAGGCGACGAUCCUUAGCUGGUCUGAGAGGAUGAUCAGCCACACUGGGACUGAGACACGGCCCAGACUCCUACGGGAGGCAGCAGUGGGGAAUAUUGGACAAUGGGCGCAAGCCUGAUCCAGCAAUGCCGCGUGAGUGAUGAAGGCCUUAGGGUUGUAAAGCUCUUUUACCCGGGAUGAUAAUGACAGUACCGGGAGAAUAAGCUCCGGCUAACUCCGUG
rnacentral:rRNA from 1 species